UUGUAUCUCAGAUGCAUCCUUAAGCACAAGAGACUAUAGCCCCCACCCUCCGUGAUAGGGGGUCUGGGAGGCCCCCUAGUUACAUAGCUAGAGAUAGAUAGUAUAACAGGUUUUCUAACCUAAUACGCCCUCAACUUUGUCUAUUAAUAUCUCGUUUCGCAGUAGAGAGCAACGAUUUUGUCAGAGGAAAAAGUUAUUUGGCAUGCACAAACGCGUCGAUUGAGUCUAUUUUUACCGAAAUCGGAGAUGAGGUAGCUCUUCUGAACAAUUAUCGAUAAUAUUAAAAUCUUACAACAAAUCUGAAAAACUAUUCUUUCUACGCCAUGCUUGUUUACAAAUAUCGCUGAAGGAUAAACAAAUAAGUAAAAUCCACAAUAUUUUCACAAAUAUAAAAAUAUUAAAAUUCGAAUUAUUUUCCUAUUAUUUUUUGGUGUAUUGAAGCUGACAUGACUUUCUAGAAAAUGACGGUAAUAUUCAAAAGUUGACACAAACAUGGCGCAGUCGAGGAACUUCUGCCACAAUUGGGAAUAAUGCAACAAUAAAUUUUCAAGAGAAAAUGUUACAACAACCUCUUGUGAGCUACGUAACUUGAAGGAAAAUGAACUAAAUAUCCCCGACAGCACAAACUUCGAAAACACACAAAGAAACGCUUAAAAGAAGGUAUG